UCAUAAACUUCAGUGAAUAGGUCAGCUGGUGGUUCCUCAUUUUCUUCCUCAUCUAGAAGAGGGGGCAUGGAAAGAGUGAGUUCCAUAUGCUUAGUAAGGUAAAUAGUAUUUAAAUAACAUCGUAAGGUUUUAAAGGUAAAUCAUUCUAACAUGCAUACUUACCAUUUGGUUACUUUGUAGACCUAUUUUACCUUAUGAAAAUAAUUUACUUAUUAGGAAAAAUAUCACGUUAAUAUAAUCAAAACAAACACACAUCAUACCAGAAAAUAGAGAAAAUAAAAUAAAUCAUGAAAUGCUCAAAUUUUCAUAUCAUACUUCGUGAAGUCGUUAUGACUUCUAUCUCUGAAGGCAAAUUACAAAUUUCUGACUACCCAUAUGGAAUGACCAGAUCAGAUACAGAUAACGACAAUUUGCUUAGGCACAUUUCCGGCUUGUCAAACCAUGGUACGAUCUGUAACUGCAGUCGUACCAACUAUAGUGAUCCUAUCAGAUAUUCUAUAGUCACGUCCGUACAUAGCCAAAGGUGACUCCUAACAGAUAUUUACGUCACCACUCUCGUCAAAGGGUACGUCAUCAUUCACAGGGAGCAGGCCUCUUACGUUUUUGCAGAUAGGGUUAGGGGGAAACAGAUACCUCAGAUGGGGUUAGGGGAACAGAUACAUCUCAAAGAUAAAAAAUCUAACGAGACAUUUGAUGCAUUAUGCAUGUUAACACAGAUACAUACUCAGACCAUUCAUGCUUCAUCUCACAUUUCUCUUUUUUUUUUUGUUUCUUUUAUUUUCUAGGUAACCUUAUCGGUUUCAUAUUAUUUUAAUUACAUGCAAAUCAUCAAGUGUCUAUAAAUCACAUAGCAUGCUUGAAAUCAAGAACAAUUCAACUUAUUAAACCUAUAAACACAAAAACAUGUAAAACAAGCAAAAUCACAAAUUAUCAGUUUACUUUUUUUUUGUCUAAAAAUACCCCUUAAGAUGUUUAAAGAAAUACUAGAUUCCUUACCGAAACUUUGAUAAUUUCUUCUAUAUCGUUCUUCUUUUCUUCCUUUCCUUCUCUUUCUAGAUCACUUUUUCUCUCUCUCUAAUUCUUGAAAGGUGGAAAAAUGAAAGUGUGGGAAAAAUGGGAAGGAAGGGCCUCUAUUUGUGGAAAUUGGGAGUCGUUGGAUUUGUGUAAAGUGGCAAAAUUUGGUGAAGAGAGAGAAAAAAAGAUGCUCGGCAAGAAAAUUAACUAGAAUUAACUAUAAUUAAAUAAAAUCAAAAUAAAUAAAAAUUGAUAAAAUUCAUGAAUUACGAUAAUAAUUUGUGGAUUAAAUUAAAUGAGUUCAAGUUGGCCUAAAGGCUCGAAUAAAUAGGGUUUUUCAAGUAAAUUAAGCACAGUGAUGGGCAAGGUGUUACAUAUACCAUCAAAUCACAUGCAAGCUCUACACAUGCACCCAGACUGACAUUGACACAAUAACUUUGAUUCAGGACUGAUUCUGACUCUUCUUCUUUAUUAAGUCUUCUAUGUUCAUUUAAAUCUUCAAUUAAGUUCAUAUUGUCAUAUCCAUGGUUGUUCACAUUUAUUUCCAAGGAGGCAAUUCGAACAUUGACCAAAGCCACGAGUAAGGAUAUCAAUCAAAUGAUAAUGAAUGCAAUCACUCAAUCUCUCCAAUCGCUAUAUAUGAAUCCAAUGGUUCAGUUCUCUAUCUUAGAAACACUGAACACUGGUUCCAACCUAAAACUCAAAUACCAGCACCCUCACUUUGAUCGAGUUGCAAAACAAUAUAGUUAGGCCCUCCAAGGAAAUUAGACGAGUCGGAUUUUACCAGACUAUUUGGUGGAGUUAAGUUUUAUUAGACACUUGACUUGUCUUCCUUUUUAGACAUAACCUCUAAGCUAUCCUAUACCUAAUCAGCCUAACUCUAAUUUGUUUCCCCCUAUUUUCCUUCUCUUAUUAUUUCCAUUUUUACUGGUCUUUCCUUGGAUCACAGCCUAACCCUUCUACUAUUUUUCCAUUUUAUAAUUCUAAUACAACCCAUUUUAAUUCCCUCAACAAUAAUAACAUUUAUGAUUCAAUCAAUCAAUAAACCAGAUAAAUAUAAUAUAUAUAAAAUGAAUAAAAAGAACAAACAUACCUUUUCAAUUAAGCCUAAAUUCUUCUAGGUGACCUUAAUCUAUUAAUUUUAUUUCCACAUUAUUACAUUUUUAACUUAUCUAUUUUCUAUUCCAAUUUCUUAUUUUGGUUUUCCUAAUUUUAUGUCUAUUUACCUAAUUACAAUUUUAUUUUCUCUUCUUAUUUAUUUUCCUAAUUUUAUUGGUUUUUAUUUACUUCUUAUUUUUAGGAUUAUUUACCUAAUGGUUUAUUUAAUUAAUUAUUUACAAUUUAUUAUUAAAUAAUAAAUUGGUUCCUAAUUUAUUAUUUAUAAUUUUUAUCAUUUUAUUCCCAAACACCCAUAUUAUUAGCUAUUUAUUUUCUAGCUUCCUUUUAUAAUGAUCUAGCCUAUCGUCAAUACUUGCACGUAGCAAUGGACAUCUAGUAAUAGAAAACAUACAAGAAAACAUCAAUUUAUUUUACUUAAAAUAUCAUGAAAACAAACACACACACACCGCUACAUUCAUUCAAAAUCAUAUUGUUUCCUAUUUUCAUUCAAACUACACCUAGAUGCAUAUAAAAGACAUAUUAAAAGUGAUCAAGGGAGUAUUGCACUUUUUACCUCAACCAUGGUGCAGUAUCAUACUAAAUUCAAGGAUUUAGCCCCAAUCGCAUUUCCCAUUCGAUGCCACUUAAAAAAAUUUACAAUUAAUUAUUACUAACGUCCUAUGACCGAAAGUCAAAUCUAAGAAACUAAUGCUUACCGUUAAUGGAGAUUCGGGUCUUCUAAGGAAACCUUUUUGGCUCUCUAUAUGGAAAUGGAACCAGUAUUUGUAACUUUUAUGGCAGCAGAAGGAGAUACAGGUUGUGACUGUCUUUCAUUUUCCUCCAUUGUCACACAUACACCAACCUGUGAACAAGCCACGUAUCCCAACGUGACUAGCCACCUCCAAACACUCACAUAAAUGCCCUCACUCGGUAGCUUUGACGCCACAUGCAUCAAAAGCCUGUAGAUCUC
rnacentral:lncRNA from 1 species